rnacentral:rRNA from 1 species
UGCAGUCGAGCGCGGGAAGCAGGCAGAACUCCUUCGGGAGUGAUGCCUGUGGAACGAGCGGCGGACGGGUGAGUAACACGUGGGCAACCUGCCUGUAAGACUGGGAUAACCCCGGGAAACCGGGGCUAAUACCGGAUAACACUUUUUGGUACAUGCCAAGAAGUUGAAAGGCGGCCUUUUUGGCUGUCACUUACAGAUGGGCCCGCGGCGCAUUAGCUAGUUGGUAGGGUAACGGCCUACCAAGGCAACGAUGCGUAGCCGACCUGAGAGGGUGAUCGGCCACACUGGGACUGAGACACGGCCCAGACUCCUACGGGAGGCAGCAGUAGGGAAUCUUCCGCAAUGGACGAAAGUCUGACGGAGCAACGCCGCGUGAGUGAUGAAGGUUUUCGGAUCGUAAAACUCUGUUGUUAGGGAAGAACAAGUGCCGUUCAAAUAGGGCGGCACCUUGACGGUACCUAACCAGAAAGCCCCGGCUAACUACGUGCCAGCAGCCGCGGUAAUACGUAGGGGGCAAGCGUUGUCCGGAAUUAUUGGGCGUAAAGCGCGCGCAGGCGGUCCUUUAAGUCUGAUGUGAAAGCCCACGGCUCAACCGUGGAUGGCCAUUGGAAACUGGAGGACUUGAGUACAGAAGAUGAGAGUGGAAUUCCACGUGUAGCGGUGAAAUGCGUAGAGAUGUGGAGGAACACCAGUGGGCGAAGCGACUCUCUGGUCUGUAACUGACGCUGAGGUGCGAAAGCGUGGGGAGCGAACAGGAU